GAUGAAGAACGUAGCGAAAUGCGAUAAGUAAUGCGAAUUGCAGAAUUCCGUGAGUCAUCGAAUCUUUGAACGCACAUUGCGCCCUCUGGUAUUCCGAAGGGCAUGCCUGUCUGAGCGUCAUUGUCAACCCUCAAGCUCAGCUUGCUGUUGGGUCCCCGUCGUUGCUUUAACGGCGGACCCGAAAGGUAAUGGCAGAGUCCGUGAGACCCUAGACGCAGCGAGCUUCUAGCACGCGUCUGGACGUUUUUCGGGCUCGGUCUUAACUAGAUGAUAACUUCCGAUUGACCUCAGAUCAGGUAGGGAUACCCGCUGAACUUAAGCAUAUCAAUAAGCGGAGGA
rnacentral:misc_RNA from 1 species